rfam:Nicotiana attenuata strain TT chromosome 11, whole genome shotgun sequence.
UUACUUACCUGGACUGGGUCAGUGAGCGAUCAAUAAGGCUCAUGGCCUAGGUUAGUGACCUCCAUUGUACUUUGGAGGGGUGCCCGCCUAAGAUCGAUCCAAGUGGUCGAGCCUACUUUAUAAUUUGUAGUAGUGGGGGCCUGUGUUCGCGCGGCCUGUC